GGACCAGUAGCUCAGUUGGUUAGAGCAUCCGGCUCAUAACCGGACGGUCGCGGGUUCGAGUCCCUCCUGGUCCA
rnacentral:tRNA from 1 species